GAUGAACGCUAGCUACAGGCUUAACACAUGCAAGUCGAGGGGAAACGAUAUUGGAAGCUUGCUUCCGGUAGGCGUCGACCGGCGCACGGGUGAGUAACGCGUAUCCAACCUGCCCACCACUUGGGGAUAACCUUGCGAAAGUAAGACUAAUACCCAAUGACGUCUCUAGAAGACAUCUGAAAGGGAUUAAAGAUUUAUCGGUGAUGGAUGGGGAUGCGUCUGAUUAGCUUGUUGGCGGGGUAACGGCCCACCAAGGCUACGAUCAGUAGAGGUUCUGAGAGGAAGGUCCCCCACAUUGGAACUGAGACACGGUCCAAACUCCUACGGGAGGCAGCAGUGAGGAAUAUUGGUCAAUGGGCGAGAGCCUGAACCAGCCAAGUAGCGUGCAGGAUGACGGCCCUAUGGGUUGUAAACUGCUUUUAUAAGGGAAUAAGGUGAGUCUCGUGAGACUUUUUGCAUGUACCUUAUGAAUAAGGACCGGCUAAUUCCGUGCCAGCAGCCGCGGUAA
rnacentral:rRNA from 1 species